UAAAAGGGUGUAUAAAAAAAAAAAAAAAAACAAAAAAUAAAAUAAGAUAAACGAUAUAAAGGUUAUUUAGAAGUUUUGGUUCUGGACUUAAUAUUAGCUUUCUCUUGGUUAGAUACAUGGUACUUUUGGGGUUAAUGAGGAGUGUCGUAUGGGACGUUUAAGACGUAUACGGUUAUUCACGUGGGUAUGAUUAGAUAAAUAUAAAGCCUGAAGGUUUUCAUUACCACCAGUACUGGAGUUUAAGCAAUAAAGGAAACUUUGACUUAAUUAUUGAGAGUUAGAGCUGGGUAAUUAUAGUGCCAGCACUCGCGGUCAAACUAUUGGCUCAGGUUAAUAAAUUACGGCAUAAAAGAUGGUUAAUCGGUUUUAUAGGAUGAAAAAGUUUUAAUAAGGAGUUAUAUCUGGAGUAAAAAGUUAGUACAUAUAUAUCCUAUUUGAUGAGGCCAUGAAAUCUUUAGUAGAGACUAGGAUUAGAUACCCUAUUAUUUGAAGAUGAAAAUUUAGGCUAGUUGUCUGCCAGGGUACUACGAACACAUGUUUAGAACUCAAAGAACUUGGCGGUGCUUUAGCCAGCUAGGGGAACCUGUCCUUUAAUUCGAUAGUCCACGAAAAUCUUACCUAUUUUAGUUUUCAGUUUGUAUACCGUCGUCGAAAGCUGGCACCAAAAGGGCUUAGAAGCCAGCAAGAAAGAUUUUUCUCUUGGAAGUCAGAUCAAGGUACAGCCAAUAAAUAGGGAGGAGAUGGGUUACAAUUAAUAAUUUUUAUUGGAGUUCUAAUGAAAUUUAGUUAAUGUAAAGAGGACUUAGAAGUAAUUUCUUAUUAAGGUUAAGAGAUGAAAUAGGCUCUAGAGCGUGUACAAAUCGCCCCGUCGCUCUCGUUGAAAAAUGAGAUAAGUCGUAACAUAGUAGGGGUAGCGGAAGCUGUCCCUAAUUU
rnacentral:rRNA from 1 species